rnacentral:tRNA from 1 species
UGGAGAUGGUAAUAUACAAGUUAACCAUUGACGUAUGAAAUAUUUGCAGUAUAGGGUUGUUAUUAAGUUAA